AACGUUAUUCUCAAUUGCCACACUUACAUAACACUCUCACUCACCUUGCCGUUUCAGUUUUCCCUUUCACGCUCUCACUCUCACUCACCUUGCAGGGUCGCGUUCCCUCUCUCUGCCUUGCUUUUCCCCUCCCUCUCAAGUGCAGUUUCAGUUUUCUGCUCCUUGCAUCGCCUUCCCUCUCCUGGUUGCGUUACCUCUCUCUUCUUGCGUUCUCUCUCACGGCGAAGGUCACCCUCCCUCACCGCCGUCUUCUUCUUUUUCCGGUGGAUGAAAGACAUGCGGUGAUCAACUUGAAGAUCUGAUGCAAUGAUGUCAUUCUUGAAGAUGAGGCUGGUUAUGAAGGAAACAAGUAGAUCAAUAUGAAGAUGUGAUGUUUUUUUAUUGAGAUUGUUUUGAUGUUAUUUGUGUUGUCAACUAUGUUAAGUAUUGUGUCUGUUUGUGAGUUGUGACUCUAUUAUUGUUUUAGUUUCCUUUUGGACUUCUUUAGUUAUGAUUCUAUUGUCAUGCUCGUGUUGGUGCAGCAGGUGGUUAUUUUCUUGUUCUGGUUUUGGAACCUUUGAAGCUUUAUUAAUAUUUUAUGAUCUUUCAAGUUUAUUAUGACAGGAAAGAAGCUAAAUUUCUAAUAUAUUAUGCUGCAUUUUGUGCUUGAA